rnacentral:rRNA from 2 species
GAAAGGCCAAUCAAACCGGGAGAUAGCUGGUUCUCCCCGAAAGCUAUUUAGGUAGCGCCUCGUGAAUUCAUCUCCGGGGGUAGAGCACUGUUUCGGCAAGGGGGUCAUCCCGACUUACCAACCCGAUGCAAACUGCGAAUACCGGAGAAUGUUAUCACGGGAGACACACGGCGGGUGCUAACGUCCGUCGUGAAGAGGGAAACAACCCAGACCGCCAGCUAAGGUCCCAAAGUCAUGGUUAAGUGGGAAACGAUGUGGGAAGGCCCAGACAGCCAGGAUGUUGGCUUAGAAGCAGCCAUCAUUUAAAGAAAGCGUAAUAGCUCACUGGUCGAGUCGGCCUGCGCGGAAGAUGUAACGGGGCUAAACCAUGCACCGAAGCUGCGGCAGCGACACUAUGUGUUGUUGGGUAGGGGAGCGUUCUGUAAGCCUGUGAAGGUGUACUGUGAGGUAUGCUGGAGGUAUCAGAAGUGCGAAUGCUGACAUAAGUAACGAUAAAGCGGGUGAAAAGCCCGCUCGCCGGAAGACCAAGGGUUCCUGUCCAACGUUAAUCGGGGCAGGGUGAGUCGACCCCUAAGGCGAGGCCGAAAGGCGUAGUCGAUGGGAAACAGGUUAAUAUUCCUGUACUUGGUGUUACUGCGAAGGGGGGACGGAGAAGGCUAUGUUGGCCGGGCGACGGUUGUCCCGGUUUAAGCGUGUAGGCUGGUUUUCCAGGCAAAUCCGGAAAAUCAAGGCUGAGGCGUGAUGACGAGGCACUACGGUGCUGAAGCAACAAAUGCCCUGCUUCCAGGAAAAGCCUCUAAGCAUCAGGUAACAUCAAAUCGUACCCCAAACCGACACAGGUGGUCAGGUAGAGAAUACCAAGGCGCUUGAGAGAACUCGGGUGAAGGAACUAGGCAAAAUGGUGCCGUAACUUCGGGAGAAGGCACGCUGAUAUGUAGGUGAAGUCCCUCGCGGAUGGAGCUGAAAUCAGUCGAAGAUACCAGCUGGCUGCAACUGUUUAUUAAAAACACAGCACUGUGCAAACACGAAAGUGGACGUAUACGGUGUGACGCCUGCCCGGUGCCGGAAGGUUAAUUGAUGGGGUUAGCGGUAACGCGAAGCUCUUGAUCGAAGCCCCGGUAAACGGCGGCCGUAACUAUAACGGUCCUAAGGUAGCGAAAUUCCUUGUCGGGUAAGUUCCGACCUGCACGAAUGGCGUAAUGAUGGCCAGGCUGUCUCCACCCGAGACUCAGUGAAAUUGAACUCGCUGUGAAGAUGCAGUGUACCCGCGGCAAGACGGAAAGACCCCGUGAACCUUUACUAUAGCUUGACACUGAACAUUGAGCCUUGAUGUGUAGGAUAGGUGGGAGGCUUUGAAGUGUGGACGCCAGUCUGCAUGGAGCCGGCCUUGAAAUACCACCCUUUAAUGUUUGAUGUUCUAACGUUGGCCCCUGACCGGGGUUGCGGACAGUGUCUGGUGGGUAGUUUGACUGGGGCGGUCUCCUCCUAAAGAGUAACGGAGGAGCACGAAGGUUGGCUAAUCCUGGUCGGACAUCAGGAGGUUAGUGCAAUGGCAUAAGCCAGCUUGACUGCGAGCGUGACGGCGCGAGCAGGUGCGAAAGCAGGUCAUAGUGAUCCGGUGGUUCUGAAUGGAAGGGCCAUCGCUCAACGGAUAAAAGGUACUCCGGGGAUAACAGGCUGAUACCGCCCAAGAGUUCAUAUCGACGGCGGUGUUUGGCACCUCGAUGUCGGCUCAUCACAUCCUGGGGCUGAAGUAGGUCCCAAGGGUAUGGCUGUUCGCCAUUUAAAGUGGUACGCGAGCUGGGUUUAGAACGUCGUGAGACAGUUCGGUCCCUAUCUGCCGUGGGCGCUGGAGAACUGAGGGGGGCUGCUCCUAGUACGAGAGGACCGGAGUGGACGCAUCACUGGUGUUCGGGUUGUCAUGCCAAUGGCACUGCCCGGUAGCUAAAUGCGGAAGAGAUAAGUGCUGAAAGCAUCUAAGCACGAAACUUGCCCCGAGAUGAGUUCUCCCUGACUCCUUGAGAGUCCUGAAGGAACGUUGAAGACGACGACGUUGAUAGGCCGGGUGUGUAAGCGCAGCGAUGCGUUGAGCUAACCGGUACUAAUGAACCGUGAGGCUUAACCUU